AUGAGUGCAUGCCAAGUGUGCCCUGUUUGGUGGAAUAUUUGUAAGGAUCCUCUCAUGUGGCGCACUAUUAAGAUGACCAAUCUAUGGUAUAGUCUUUAUGAUGAUGUGGAAUUGUUGAAGAUUUGUUUCAGAGUUGUUGAACGAAUUUGUGAUCAUCUUGAAGAAAUUGAUAUUGUGCGUUUUGGCACCAAUAAUCUCCUUGAAUGCAUAACUGAUAAUCACCUAGAUUCCAUGCGGUUGGUAGAUUGCUGGAAUAUUUCUGAUAAAGGGUGUUGUGAAGCUGUGAGAAAGCUUCUGUGA